UUUGGUUUCUGAGGUCUAGUGUUCUCAAACCUAGCUUUAUUUCUCACGCCUUAGGUGAUGAUAAAACAGACAGGGACAUCUGUACUCCUUUGGAGGAUGAUGACUUGUUCUAAUGGGAAUCUCUCUGAUGCAGAGUAUUUGUACUCACUAACAUAUGUGCUUUUUAAGAUAUAAGCAUUGUGUCUUGUUUUCCAAGUUCUGUUCUUAUUUCGUCUUUAAGUUGUAUGAAAUUUUUUAAUCCAACUAUACGUUCUUGGGUAUGGUACUUCUGGGGUUCUCUGUGUUCAACAUUGCACUAUUUUCAUAUUAUGAAUCAUGGUUUGAAUGGAUUAUGUCUUUCUUAUUUUGAUAUUACCAUGAGACUGCUGGGAUUCGUUCUUAUUAAUCUGAGGCACUUCAUUAUCUGU